UACGUAGGGCGCAAGCGUUAUCCGGAAUUAUUGGGCGUAAAGAGCUCGUAGGCGGUUUGUCGCGUCUGCCGUGAAAGUCCGGGGCUCAACUCCGGAUCUGCGGUGGGUACGGGCAGACUAGAGUGAUGUAGGGGAGACUGGAAUUCCUGGUGUAGCGGUGGAAUGCGCAGAUAUCAGGAGGAACACCGGUGGCGAAGGCGGGAUCCUGGGCCAGUACUGACGCUGAGGAGCGAAAGCGUGGGGAGCAAACAGG
rnacentral:rRNA from 1 species